rnacentral:lncRNA from 1 species
AUAUAUAUAUAUAUAUAUAUUUAUAUAUGAUUCGGUUGGUAUAAUUAGGCUAUUUACCCAAUUCUACAAAACGGCAUCAUCUCUGGAGCGCACUGCAAACACGAUACUUUCUUUCGGGAGUAGGCUAAAGCGCACCUCUACUUUUCCACCUGUGCAGAGAGGAGAGAACCAACCCUGGGACACGCGCCACCUAUCUUCACGGGAGGGGAUAAUUGAGCAGGACCAAACGUGAGCAUCUUCUGGUAAACGUGAUAUGCUUUUUUUUUCUCUCCCCGGCUUUUUCAUCGGAGUGAAAUUUACACUGUGCCUGUCGGACUCAGACUACCAUGUAUAGCAGCCGAAGAAUCAAGAGUGUGUGUGUUUUUUUUUCCCCCCCGAAGAAGAAAAGUUAAACAGCUCUUCUAUUCAACCCUCAAUGACCACAACUGAAAUGGAGGAAAAUGAAUGAAAUUAUAGUGUUGGCAAGUUUUACUGAACCUCAUACAAAGACUACCGAGGAUGAAAGGGGUGCGGUACAGCAUUUGUUAAGGAAGUGAGCAUCUGAGUAAUCAACUGUAUGGAUAAUUAAAUCAUCAAUCAAGAGGCUCGACUGUGAUGCCUUUGUCCGAAGCCAAUCAGAUUCCGGAGAGCCCGGAUAAACAGUUUGAAAGGAAAAGGUGCUCAACAUCUGGCGUUAAAAAAGUUGGAUAUGAAGCACAACUAUACUGGAGCCCUGUCACAGAGCAUUUUCACGCAACCAUAGGUUCCGAGGUGACGUGUGGCACCUGACCGACCGAAACUCCGACCGAAACUCCCCGCCGCUACUGAGGUCUAAAGAUGAUGUCUCGCUCAACAUGUUUUGGGGUGAAAUGAGCUUUGAUGUAGGAAGUCAUGUUCAAUCUGUCCUUACACCUCCAUGAACAAAUCAGAAAAAUAUGUAUUUUGUUGUUGGGAAGCAACUGAAAACAUCUCACACAGGCACAAAAAAUUCUACUGUCACCAGCAACAGCUCAUGUUGUAAAGAGAGCACCAUGUUAGUUAACAGAUGAACAACACUUUCAGUGAGUUUGAACGCCUUCCUUGUCAGUGGUGCAACCAGUGCUCGCCCUAACGAGCAGCAAGACUUUUUCGGUGCUAGUGUCAAUUGAAAAUUGGAUUUACAUCUUUUUUUAUGUUUUG